rnacentral:lncRNA from 1 species
UUUUCUUUACUUUUAUUUUGAUUUUUUUGGCAUUUUUCUUAACUAUUUAAAUUAUCAUUGUUUUUAAUUUUUGUAUCAUUUGGUUCUUUCAAUUUGACUUCAUUUUGUAAUUUUAUUAUUUUAUCUUUUAUAUUUAUUUUUUCCAUUAUUUUAUUACGAUUAUGAUCAUUGUAAUUACGUAAAAAUUAAUGAUUAAUACAAUGUGAUACUUGUGGAUUUUUGUUCCAUUUCCUUUGAAUAUUUUUAUUGAUAAACAUCGAAUUCUUA